ensembl:lncRNA
CUCUCCUGGUGAUCUAAGUGCCUUCACUCCUUACAGUUCCAGCAAAUGAUGUGCUUGGGCUGCUGUCAUUGAAAUACAUAGCUUAGAAUGGGAGAUAGAAGAGUUUGGAAAUUAAGGUGUCAAGAAACAGUUUCUCCAAGGAUCAGUUACAUUGGCAGAGGAAGGAGGAGAAACUUCCCAGAGAAUUUACAAUGUGUGGUUCUUUAUAAAGCCUAGAUAUGUCAGGAGGAAAAAUAGAAAAUGGCUUCAACAUUAAUGUUUAAAAGGAAAACGGAGCAAAAGCAAGUUCAAUCUGAAUGUUCUCAACCAUUUCAUGUACAGGAUUUUUAAGUAUCCCCUAAAGAAUGCUUUUAUGUCAGCAAAUACACGCCACAGAAAACAAUAGUACUGUAUUGGUGAUUUAAUGCUAGCUAUUUUCUUUUUUAUAGUUCUGGAGAUGGGAGAAAACAAAUCUUCCUUAAUUAGUGAUCAGUUGCAGUGAAUUUCAGCACACUUACUGAUGGAUGUAAUGAGCAGGCAGCAGCUUUUGCAGCUUCCAUUUACAUGAGAGGAAUGGAGAGAAGCUGUUCUGUUGUGCACAGCUGCAUCGCAUGAUCACAUUCAAGUGGCCCAGAGUAGCAGAGAAAUACAACUCCCAGAGGCUGUGCUGGGAGGCUCUGCUUGGUCAGUAAGGGUGGGACUUACUGUGAGAUGGACUGAAGAGUGUGAUGGUGAAUGAGCUCAAUUGGAUGUGCUUCUCCAGGGGCCCCAGGCCUAGAGCCCCCUUCAAGCCUCUCUGCUCCAUGUUCCCUGUAACCAUUCCCAGCACUCAGGGGUGGACAACAUUCCAAGUGUGGACACUGACAGCUCCAAUGGUGCUUUCUAUGCUCCCCUUCAGCAAGGAGGGUGCAAGGGUUGGAAUAUGGCCAGAGACAGUGCAGAUGGGACUGCUCCAGGUUUGUAACAAAGCUGCUGUAGUGUAAGCUCCAGACUUGGGGACUUGGGGUAUCUUGCCAACUCAGAUGCCUUGUACUGAUAUUUUGAGUACUGAUAGAUUUAACUAUUACCCUGCUUAUCAAAAUAAGGAAAAAGAAAGGGAAAUGUUGUUGCAUGUUUAACUGCUCUUAAGGUUGCAUCUUAGCAAUUUUAGUCCUCUAUCUGACGAUCUGCUCAUUUACCUGCCUCCCCCUCCUCCUAAAGAGGCAUUCAGCAGGACUGAGACUGGCAUCUGACCUCUGCUUCUGUCCAUCCCUUUUAAGCUGCUGUGCUGACAAGGGAAGAUAAGCUUGCUGAGCCCCUUAAGGCUUACGUUUCUGUGUGGAUUGCAAAGAAGGGUUGUGAGUCCCAGGGAGUCCAGGGAAGUUGUUCUGUUCUUAUGCUCUGAAUAAUGCUGCAUGCAGCCACCUCUCCUCUCAACCAGAUGGGGUUUUGGAAUUAUGAUAACAAGUUUUCCUUUUUUUUUCAUGGCUCAUUCUGCUUUGUUAUUAAAUGGCAAGCUUCAGAUACAGCUGCAUGAUUCCUUACUGCUUUCAUAGAUGUGUUUUUAAUCUGCUUUGAAGAGGCUACAUGAGCAAUAAAGAACACAAGUUGCAGUCCCUCA